CAUACAGAGCGGCACAAAGCGGUUAUGCGCAUCCCGUGUGCAGAAUGAUGCGCUUGAAGCAUCAUGGAGUCACGGCGCUCCGCAUUGAAAAGUUCAAAGCACAAAGAGAAGAUAUAUUGAUGGGUAUUGUAUUACCGUUAUCUUGAUGAAGUAUAAUAAUAGAAACAUUGAUUCAUCUUGGAGAGUGUUUCAUUGUGUUGACUGUCAUAACCGAACGCGACACGCAGUCUGAAUUCAUUAAUGCUGAAUGGAGAAUGACUGACUGCCGCAGCGGAGGGAGGCAUUUAGGCUACGUGAACUUUCAUUUAACGACUUAAAUAUUUAUCUGUACCUCAAAUUAAACUAUGGAAUGGCUUCAGAACACUUGGAAUAUAGUGCACAGAAACUUUAUGGUGCUUUUUUAAUGUUUUUGUGCCUUUUGUGGAGCUUAACAAUAACAGAAUAGUACACGCACAGUAUCGGAUUUGGAUCGGUGCACUCCGGCCGAUACCCGAUCCGGCAAAAAUGGCAGUAUCGGAGCCGAUACCGAUCUGAAUAUCGGAUCGGUGCAUCCCUAGUUUGCAUGUGUCAUUCAUUACUGUAAAAAAUCUACUUUUUAUUUUCAGUAGCAGAAGCAGAGACGGUCUGUGCAACAGCAACAAGGUGCGGGUCCAAACCCAUCUGUCAAGACGCUUGUCCACUUGCUGUCCACCCCACCAGCCCAACGAUUGUCCUGGAGAGCCUCUGACCACAAGUCAUAGAAAAAGAGAAUGUCAUUAUCAACUGGAACAGCUUGAGGGAGUACAGUGGUAGAGACAGAGAAGAAGUGCCCUUGACGAGGAAACCAUGGCAGCCAUAUAUACGUCAAGAAGAGAUUUCCAAAUGUGUCCAAAGAGGCUUUGAGGAUUUGAACUGGGGAAACUGAGACUUCUUGAAAGCAAAAAAGUUAUAUUUGUUUGAAUAUUGUAAUUUUUUUGAACAUUGUAAAGUAUGUUCCUUGCUGAUUAUUAUUCAAAUGUUCACUUGUUAUAGACAACAAAUAAAAGUUUUUCAAAUGUGACAUGUGAAUGUAUUUUCUUGGGUUGAAAUAUAU